rnacentral:sRNA from 1 species
GUCGCUACAGACCGGAACCUCGAAAGAGGGGUAGCGAUGCCGGGAACGAGCUUAGGCGAAUUCCUCCCAGCCAGUGAGCGGGAUUUGAAAGGCCAGGCCGAUAUGUGAUUCAGCAAAAAGCCCUACGGUGUGAGCCGCAGGGCUUUUUUGCUU